GUUUUGAACACCUGUUUUUUAUGAUGUUUUAUUUGUUUCAUGCUGAAAUUGUAAUAUGCUGGUUAUGAUGGAAGAUGCUCUAUUCUGUACUGCUUGUUUUCUAAAGGAGUUUAGGAAGCAACUUUGGGUGUGAUCCUGUGAUGUUCUGAGCAGAAAUUUGAUUGACUUCACUCGCAACAGGAUAAGCCAUCAAGUUACAGACUGGUUUAAAUCCAUGCCACUGAAUUGCUGUUAGCUGGGGACUGAAGUAGCAGAGAGAAGUACAAAGGUUUUCUGUGCAUGUAUUUUUGGGUUGAUGAGAAGUUCUGGAUUAAAACAUUAAGUGGAUUUGGAGGCCCGGAUACUUCUGGAUUGGAUUUACUUGGAUUUACCUCUAGGUAGGCAGAAAUUUCUGCCCAAUAAGUCUUUUAGAUUAUGUCAAUUUUUGUCUUAUUUAUCUCGUAGUCUGAUUUUUAUGUUAUCGCAUUUCUAGUAAGAGAUUUGGGGGGGGGUUCAUGGAUUAAUUUAUAUUUAAUGAGCUAAUGAGGCAAUGACUUUUGCUGACUUUGGGCUCAUCGUUUUUUUACUGAUCAGUGGUAAUACAAGUCUUUGGAGAGUAACUGAAUUGUCUGAUCCCAAACUAGGGAACCCGUGAGUACACAUUUUCCAUCCUGCCUCUAUUCUGUGGCAUUGAACAAGUCACUUAAAUUCUUUGAGCCUCACGGGUCCCAUCUGUAAACUGGAGCUCAUGAUCCUUCCUUCCCUUAGAGGGAUGUCACCAUGAGGCUGUACAACACGAUAUUUGCAAAGGGCUCAGAAAACACAUUAUCAUCUUAGGAAAGCAUCAUAUAGAUGCCAAGUAUCUUAUUGACUUUGGCCAUCUAGGGUAGAGCACUGACGCACACUAGUGUGCAUCUGAUAUUGAUGGGCUUAAUUCACUCCUUCCCUGUGGCUUAUAAGACUUCCCCCUUUUUCCUUGCUGUCAUGAAAUAAAAACUUGAUUGAAACAGCAUCCCCCACAGAAUCGAUUAGCUUCUCCUCUAGGAUAGUUUAUCGUAUUAUUGCACCCCAGAAAUUUGCUACAUCAGAUCAACGUAGCAGAAUGAUUUAAAAUAUGUCCUGCAGAGGUAAGGACAGUGCUUAAAACACUGGGACUAGCAUCGUUCUAACCGAUCCAUCUUUUAUAUGGAAUAGUAGGUAUUUAAACAGUGCAAGCAUCCGGGAAUAUUAGGCAUAUUCAGGAAGCAAAAGUGAAAUGCGGCCAGUUUAAAAUUGGGAAUGAAAUCUGUCAAUUAUGCAGUUGGGAGGUGAAGAAUGUCUUACCAUCUACUGUCCAAAAUCUUCUGGGGUACCGAGAAGCCCUCCUCCACUUUCAUUUUUAAUUGGAGGGAGGGCACCAAUCUGAAUUGUUUUAAGGUCUUUUUAAUCCAGGUAGCAAACAGACAGCUAAAAUGUCCCACUUUACCCUCUUGUUGUUGUGUGCACAUUGGGUUAACUGUGUCUUAUGACUUGGCUGGUAUCUUUUGUUUGGGGUGUGGGAAGGGAGUGCAUAGUUUCUGUACAGUCUGGUUUUUAAAUGGCUUAAUUCAAUAAAAGGCAAAUGAUGCAGCAUG